AGUGAACGCUGGCGGUAGGCCUAACACAUGCAAGUCGAACGGCAGCACAGUAAGAGCUUGCUCUUACGGGUGGCGAGUGGCGGACGGGUGAGGAAUACAUCGGAAUCUACUUUUUCGUGGGGGAUAACGUAGGGAAACUUACGCUAAUACCGCAUACGACCUACGGGUGAAAGCAGGGGAUCUUCGGACCUUGCGCGAUUGAAUGAGCCGAUGUCGGAUUAGCUAGUUGGCGGGGUAAAGGCCCACCAAGGCGACGAUCCGUAGCUGGUCUGAGAGGAUGAUCAGCCACACUGGAACUGAGAAACGGUCCAGACCCCUACGGGAGGCAGCAGGGGGGAAUAUUGGACAAUGGGCGAAAGCCUGAUCCAGCCAUACCGCGGGGGGGAAGAAGGCCUUCGGGUUGUAAAGCCCUUUUGUUGGGAAAAAAAAGCAGCAGGUUAAUACCCCGCUGUUCUGACGGUACCCAAAGAAUAAACACCGGCUAACUUCGU
rnacentral:rRNA from 1 species